rnacentral:rRNA from 1 species
GACGAACCACACGAACGUUAUUCGGAAUUACUGGGCUUAAAGGGUGCGUAGGCUGUGCGGAAAGUUAGGUGUGAAAUCCCCUGGCUCAACCAGGGAAUUGCGCUUAAAACUACCGUGCUAGAGGAAGAUAGAGGUGAGCGGAACUUCGGGUGGAGCGGUGAAAUGCGUUGAUAUCCGAAGGAACACCGGUGGCGAAAGCAGCUCACUGGAUCUUUUCUGACGCUGAUGCACGAAAGCUAGGGGAGCAAACGGG